UUCCAAUACUCCACGCCGUGGAGCCCUGCUCAUCCUUAUGCAGGUUCAUUUGGUAGAGCAGAUGGAGAAAGACACUUCACCCUUCUAGGAAAAGGGUAGGGAGAAGGACUAUGGAUGAAGACAAGCACUUGAAAAUAGCUGUGAUGCUUUUCGGGCAGAAAAACUGGAUGAAAAUUGCUCAGUUUGUCCCUGGCCGAACUCAAGUUCAAUGUAGAGAGAGGUGGGUCAACACUCUGGAUCCAUCUUUAAAUAUGGAACCAUGGACUGAAGAAGAGGACCCUAAACUGAAAGCAGAAAUCGCUGAACAUGAACAUUGCUG